rnacentral:rRNA from 1 species
UACGAACCGAGCGAACGUUGUUCGGAAUCACUGGGCUUAAAGGGCGCGUAGGCGGGCUGUCAAGUCUGGGGUGAAAUCCCGCGGCUCAACCGUGGAACUGCCUCAGAUACUGACGGUCUCGAGGGAGGUAGGGGCGAGCGGAACUGAUGGUGGAGCGGUGAAAUGCGUUGAUAUCAUCAGGAACUCCGGUGGCGAAGGCGGCUCGCUGGACCUUUUCUGACGCUGAGGCGCGAAAGCUAGGGGAGCAAACGGG